rnacentral:rRNA from 1 species
UACGUAGGGUCCGAGCGUUGUCCGGAAUUAUUGGGCGUAAAGGGCUCGUAGGCGGUCUGUUGCGUCGGGAGUGAAAACUUACAGCUUAACUGUGAGCGUGCUUUCGAUACGGGCAGACUUGAGGCAUUCAGGGGAGAACGGAAUUCCUGGUGUAGCGGUGAAAUGCGCAGAUAUCAGGAGGAACACCAAUGGCGAAGGCAGCUCUCUGGGACGGUACUGACGCUGAGACGCGAAAGCGUGGGGAGCGAACAGG